UACGAAGGUGGCAAGCGUUGUCCGGAAUCAUUGGGCGUAAAGCGCGUGUAGGCGGCUCGAUAAGUCUGCUGUGAAAGUCCAGGGCUCAACCCUGGGAUGCCGGUGGAUACUGUCGAGCUCGAGUCCGGAAGAGGCGAGUGGAAUUCCGUGGUGGUAGCGGUGAAAUGCGCAGAUAUCAGGAGGAACACCAAUGGCGAAGGCAGCUCACUGGGACGGUAUUGACGCUGAGACGCGAAAGCGUGGGGAGCAAAGCAGG
rnacentral:rRNA from 1 species